AGCAGCCGCGGUAAUUCCAGCUCCAAUAGCGUAUAUUAAAGUUGCUGCAGUUGAAAAGCUCGUAGUUGAAUUUCGGGACUAAUAUGUCGGUCGUGCCUCGGUACGUACUGGCUUAUUGGUUUCUCCUUUCUGAAGAACCAUGAUGUCAUUUAUUUGGUGUCGUGGGGAAUCAGGACUGUUACUUUGAAAAAAUUAGAGUGUUUAAAGCAGGCUCACGCUUGAAUACAUUAGCAUGGAAUAAUGAAAUAGGACGUUCGAACCUAUUUUGUUGGUUUCUAGGAUCAACGUAAUGAUUAAUAGGGAUAGUUGGGGGCAUUAGUAUUCAAUUGUCAGAGGUGAAAUUCUUGGAUUUAUUGAAGACUAACUACUGCGAAAGCAUUUGCCAAGGAUGUUUUCAUUAAUCAAGAACGAAAGUUAGGGGAUCGAAGACGAUCAGAUACCGUCGUAGUCUUAACCAUAAAUUAUGCCGACUAGGGAUCGGAUGAUGUUAAUUUUUUAAUGACUCAUUCGGCGCCUUACG
rnacentral:rRNA from 1 species